GAUCGCUUGGAAGUUGGGGUUUUGUUUUUUCAGGAAGCGGGCUGCGCCGGUGAUGGUUCCGCCGGUUCCGACGCCGGCGAUGAUCGC
rnacentral:tRNA from 1 species